rnacentral:lncRNA from 1 species
CAAUAGCAUACAUAAGCACUCAAGCAUAGAUGCAAGGGUAAAACUCAAAUAAUAAGAUCCAAUCUGAAAGUUCAACUGAAGAGAUUUGAUUUGCAAAAAGAAUCAGUCAAAUCGGAGCUACGGAACUGAAACUACGGUCAAAAGAACUUCAAAUUCAAAUCUGCUUGAAACCAAAUUUUAAAUUAUCAAAACAUUGUUCAAGUCGAUUAAAGAGAAAGAAGGGCCCGAGACGAAGAUUUUGGCAUUGGUUUCACUGGAUUUGGACGAACGGUUAAAAGGUUGCGAGGGUUUGAACAUCAGGGGCUAAUCUGCAAUAAAAAUAAUCGCGGAUAGGUCCCUGGCCGAAAAUAAAAUAAAAAGAAAAAAACUACGGCGCGAACGUUCGUUAACAGAGACCAACGAGCGAACGCGUUCUUAAAAACGAACUAACGAGCGGACGCUCGCUAAAUAAGGAAACCGAAAAAAACGAACCGAACCGCUAAAAAAACCGAUCCAGGGUUUUAAGAAAACCGGCGCUUUUUACCUAAAAUCGAGAAAAAAAACGACNNNNNNNNNNNNNNNNNNNNNNNNNNNNNNNNNNNNNNNNNNNNNNNNNNNNNNNNNNNNNNNNNNNNNNNNNNNNNNNNNNNNNNNNNNNNNNNNNNNNNNNNNNNNNNNNNNNNNNNNNNNNNNNNNNNNNNNNNNNNNNNNNNNNNNNNNNNNNNNNNNNNNNNNNNNNNNNNNNNNNNNNNNNNNNNNNNNNNNNNNNNNNNNNNNNNNNNNNNNNNNNNNNNNNNNNNNNNNNNNNNNNNNNNNNNNNNNNNNNNNNNNNNNNNNNNNNNNNNNNNNNNNNNNNNNNNGGCAUUUAAAGGUGAGGGGGUCCGAGUUGGCCCAGGGGCAAGCCGCGGCGGCGGGGGCGUCCCGUACUCCUGCCGGAGUCCGGCUCGGGCGCGAUGCUGGUGAGGGGAGGCGGUGACGGCGGCUGGGCCUCGGCCCGGUUCGGUCCAGGAACUUUUUUUUAAAUAAAAACAAUUCCGCCGAAAAGGAAAAAAUCCUAAAAAAAUUCUAAAAAAUGCCAAAAACAAUUUUUAUCGUCUAAAUAAAAUAUUUAAAACAUAGUGAACAUUUUCUUGGCCUAAAAUGCAAUUUUGAAAAAAAUGCAUAUUUUUUUCUAGUUCAAAUAAAAUAGCAAUAAAAUCUAAAUAAAAAUAUUUAUUUGAUUUUAACAUUUUUCCUCCAAUAUUUCUUUUAUUUUGGAGAAGUCAUAUUAUCUCCUCUCAUUUAUUUUUAUAUUGGAAAUAUUUUUGGAGAGAAAAACAAUUAAAACCAAAAUGAUCCUAUUUUCGGUACUUGAGAAAAAUUCAAAUAUAAAAAUGAAUGAAAUCCCCAACUCUCUCUGUGGGUCCUUGAGUUGCUUAGAAUUUCUAGGAUCAAAACCAAAAUGCAAAAUAAAAUAUGAUAUGCAUAUGAUGACCUAUGUAUAACAUUCCAAAUUGAAAAUUUGGGAUGUUACAAACCUACCCCCCUUAAGGUGAAUCUCGCCCUCGAGAUUCGGGUUGGCUAGAAAAUAGGUGUGGGUGGUCUUUCCGUAGAUCUUCCUCUCGUUCCCAGGUGGCUUCAUCCUCGGUAUGGUGGCUCCACUGAACUUUGCAAAACUUGAUAACCUUGUUGCCUGUGACUCGGGUGGCAAACUCAAGAAUCUUGACAGGCUUCUCCUCAUAGGUUAGAUCACUAUCCAACUGAAUUGCUUACAGGGGCACUGUAUCUCUCAGAGAAAUAUCGGCCAUCUCAGCAUGGCACUUCUUCAACUGGGAAACGUGAAACACAUCAUGAACUCCUGACAGUCCUUCGGGUAACUCCAACUUGUAGGCCACUUCUCCCAUACGUUCCAAAACUCGGUAUGGUCCUACAAAUCUCGGGGCUAACUUUCCCUUAACUCCAAAAUGUUUAACUCCUCGUAGAGGUGACACUCGAAGAUAUGCUUUGUCUCUGAUUUCAUAGACUACCUCCUUGCGUUUUGAGUCUGCAUAACUCUUCUGUCUGGACUGAGCUAACUUCAGUUUAUCUCGAAUCAACUUAACCUUCUCUUCGGACUCUUUGAUCAAAUCUCGUCCAAACAACUGGGGGUCUCCAACUUCAUCCCACAUCAACGAUGUCCCGCACCUCCUUCCGUACAAAGCUUCAAAAGGUGCCAUCUUCAAACUGGCCUGGUAGCUGUGGUUGUAUGAGGACUCCGCGUAAGGCAAAUUGUCAUCCCAACUAGAUCCAUAAUCUAGCGCACAACCUCUCAACAUGUCCUCCAGAAUCUGAUUGACUCUCUCGGUCUGCCCAUCUGUCUACGGAUGAAAGGCCGUACUAAACUCUAGCCUGGUACCCAAAGUCUGGUGCAACUGAUUCCAAAACUUCGAGCGAAACUGUGUUCCUCUAUCUGAUAUGAUGGUCCUCGAAACUCCAUGCAGAAAUACGAUCCUGGUCAUAUAUAUCUUGGCCAACUUCGCACUUGUAUAGGUGGUUUUCACUGGGAUAAAGUGAGCCACUUUGGUCAAGCGAUCCACUACUACCCAGAUAGAAUCAUAUCCCGAUCGGGUCCUGGGCAAUCCGGUGAUGAAAUCCAUGCCAAGCUUAUCCCACUUCCAUUCGGGUAUCGGCAUAGGCUGCAGUAAUCCUGCUGGCUUCUGAUGUUCUGCCUUCACUCUCUGACAUACAUCACAUACGACUACAUACUCGGCAAUAUCCUUCUUCAUACCAGUCCACCAAAAAUGCUCCUUCAAAUCCAAAUACAUCUUGGUGUUUCUGGGGUGUAUCGAGUAUGGCGAGUCAUGAGCUUCCUGAAGUAUCAACUUCAUGAUCUCUGCAUUAUUGGGUACAUAAACACGGUCCUCAAACCACAAGGUGUCGUGCUCAUCCUCACGAAAACCUUUGGCUUUUCCUUUACUCAUCCUCUCCUUUAUCUCAGCAAUUUCCUUAUCAUCCUUCUGAGCUUCUCGAAUCUUUCCCAAUAAUGUUGACUAAACUUCCAAUGCUGCAACAAAACCUCUAGGGACUAUCUCCAAACGAAGAUCCCUGAGAUCUUCGGCCAACUCCUUUGGUAAUCCUCCGCUUACGAGGGUAUUGGCAUAACUCUACCGGCUCAAAGCGUGUGCUACGACAUUGGCCUUGCCUGUAUGAUAGUGCAACUUCAUAUCAUAAUCGUUUAUAAGCUCCAACCAUCUCCUUUGCCUGAGAUUCAGCUCCUUCUGUGUGAAAAUGUACUUCAAACUCUUAUGAUCCAUGUACACAUGACAACGAUUUCCAAUAAGAAAAUGUCUCCAGGUCUUGAGCGCAUGCACUACAGCUGCUAACUCCAAAUCAUGCAUGGCAUAAUUCAACUCAUGCGGUCGAAGCUGACGUGAGGCAUAUGAAACAACUCUUCCGUCCUGCAUAAGUACACCUCCACGUCCUAAGUGGGAAGCGUCGCAAUACACUUGGAAAUCUCUGUGUAUAUCCGGCAGAAUCAGCACUGGGGCUGUAACCAAACGUUUCUUAACCUCCUGAAAACUUGCCUCACAUUCAUCUGUCCAUUUGAACUUGGUGUCCUUCUUCAACAACUCCUUCAUAAUCUUCGCAAUCUUGGAAACAUUCUUAUUGAAUCUCCGAUAAUGUAACAUCCCAAAUUUUCAAUUUGGAAUGUUAUACAUAGAGCAUCAUUGCAUAUCAUGUUUUAUUGCAUUUUGACAAAUCCUCGAUAAAUCCUAAGCAACUCAAGGACCCUCGGAGAGAGUUGGGGAUUUUCUCGAAUUUUCUUUUGAUUUUUCAGACGAGGAUUUUGGUUUUAAUUAUUUUCUCUCCGGAAAAACAUUUCAUUCUUAAAAUAAACGAGAGGAGAAAACAUGACUUCUCCAAAAAUAUUGAAAUACCGGAGGAAAAAUGUUAAAAUCAUUAUUUGGAUUUUAUUUGUAAUUUUUAUUGCAUUUAAAAAUAUGCGUGUUUUCAAAAUAUUUAUUUUUGAUUUUAAAAAUGUUCACCCUAUUCUAGAUUUUCUAACUAGACGGGGAAAAUUUAUUUCAUAUUUGUCUGAUUUUUAUUUAUUUUUCUACGCACUUUUCUUCGCGGAAUUUUUUUUUAAAAAAAAGAAACGCCCGCGCCGACUGGGCCAAUGGCCCAGCCGACGGCCCGCGCCGCCUGUCGUCUCCUCGCGCAGCAUGCCGCCAGCCGCCACCGGAGUCCGGCUCGGACACGCCGCCCGCCGCCGCCUUUGCCCCUCCUCCAAGCACCCCCCCUCAUAUAUANNNNNNNNNNNNNNNNNNNNNNNNNNNNNNNNNNNNNNNNNNNNNNNNNNNNNNNNNNNNNNNNNNNNNNNNNNNNNNNNNNNNNNNNNNNNNNNNNNNNNNNNNNNNNNNNNNNNNNNNNNNNNNNNNNNNNNNNNNNNNNNNNNNNNNNNNNNNNNNNNNNNNNNNNNNNNNNNNNNNNNNNNNNNNNNNNNNNNNNNNNNNNNNNNNNNNNNNNNNNNNNNNNNNNNNNNNNNNNNNNNNNNNNNNNNNNNNNNNNNNNNNNNNNNNNNNNNNNNNNNNNNNNNNNNNNNNNNNNNNNNNNNNNNNNNNNNNNNNNNNNNNNNNNNNNNNNNUUUAAAAAAAAAACCUUCGUUUAAAAAAAAACACUAGAUCGGAUUUUUUUCGGUUUUCUUAUUUUACGAGCGUUCACCGAACCGUUCGUUUUAACGAACGCGUUCAUCGGUUUUUCUCUGUUAACGAACGUCCGUUAUUUAACCGUUCAUCCGUUUUUCUUUUCGUCGGAUUUUUCUCAUUAUUCUCUCAGAUUCGAUUUCUGAUCGAAUCUUCGUUUCUGUUUAACUUCUCGCUCGUUUAUCGGAAUCAGGUGAUUCAAACGCCUAGAGUUUCGUCUCGAAAUUCUCUUUCUGUUUAACCUACUCAAACAAGUUUUUGCUACAGUAAAAUUUGACCUAGAUCCAGAUUAGCAAACGAAGUUUCUUUCUUCCGCCGUUUGACUUUCGUUGUUUCUUUCGAGUUGAUUCUUUUUGCAAACCGGAGUUCUUAAGUUGAACUUUCUGGUUGGAUCUUUCAUUCGAGUUUUACCUGUGCAUUAGUUGAGUACUGAUUGUAUGCUUGUUUGUUUGCGAUAGAGUACCCGGAGUGUGCCGCUUGUUACUUCGAAUCGCUAGGUUUUGCGGAUCAUCAGCAAGGCAAGUAACACUUUGAUCAUACCCCGUUCAUACCCAGUUUUAUUGCAUUAGAUCUAUUCCUUCAAACACAUUGCAUGAUUAGGAUCUAAUAAACUGUGGGUAUUGGGAAGUAGUUGAGGUAGUACCUAUUACCUGUUUUUCUAUCAAACCCUUGGGAGUUACUUCUACGUUGCUUUUAUUAUUGCCAUGCUAUGCUCGUAGACGUGGAUUGGGUUUGAGUGAAAUUCAUGACAGAUGUGAGAUUGUUAAUUAAUGGUUUACUUAAGGUGGCAACUUAAACUCACAUCUGGGUGGAUUGAGGUACCUGGGUAUUCCAGGAUUGCCUGUUUUUCUUUUGGACCGCCACCAAGGUUCAAAGGGAUCAUGAGAUUUUUCAUGCUAGAAACUUCCGUGUGCAGCCGCAAGCUAUUAUGGGCUCUAGCAUAGUUGAUUAAGUUGUGUGAACUCUUACACUGGUAGACUAGCAGAUGUAGGGGAAAGUAGGUGUAACGGUCUACCCAUACGUAAGGUGCAAACACUUCUGAAAGACUGUGUCUUGGUCAUCCGUUACUCAAACACCAUGUAGUGCGAGUAAUCCAACAGAGGAGAUCAAGUCUUGUGGGAAAAGUGCACAAACCUCUGCAGAGUGUACAAACUGAUCAUGAUUAGCCGUGUCCCCGGUUAUGGACAACUUGAGUAUCUAGUACUUGGAUUAUCAUGUGAAUCUCAACACUAUGUUACUUCUAAUUAAUUUUGUUGGGUUAUUGAUGAUUUUUAAUUGGGAUUGAGAUGCUGUCAACCAUCUCAAUGUUUCACAACCACCAUGAUAGUUAAAUAAAAUUUAUUCCUUUGAAGUAGGAUAAAAUUGGCUUUUCGCAAAACUGUAACCAUAGAGCUUUCCACCAGCCAUAUAUGCAUAUAGUAUAGCAUUAUUAUUGUUCAUUAUUCUCUAUGUGUUACAUUGCCAGCAUAUUCCAUGUGCUGACCCGUUUUCGGGCUGCAACGUUUCAUGUUGCAGACUUUUCAGACGACGAGUAAGGUGCCUUAGGUCGUGGUCUUAUACUCAGUGAUGCCGCUGGAGUUGAUGGACUCACUUAUCUUCCAAGUCUUCCGCUGUUAUCGUUAUUAGAUGGCCUUAAGCCAUGUUUAUUAUACUUAGUCUCUAUGGAGAUAUUCGAUGUAAUAAGUGUGUGAUUGCUACUCUGUUAUAAAUCCUCCAUUUGUACUGUGCGUGUCAGCAUUACUGAUCCAGGGAUGACACUGGUGCACAGCAGCACAGGCCAUUUGAGGUCUGGUCGCUACAAAGUUGGUAUCAGAGCACACGCUGACUAUAGGACACGACCACUAAGCUUAAGCCCUAGAAAGCUUCUCUCUUCUCAUUUCUGACUCCUCUCCACUUUCUACUCUUUUAGGAAUGGCGAAUGUAAGGAGCAAGUUCAUGCAACCCGACGAAGACACGCCAUUUGGACGACACCUGAAGGAAGUCACCAAGUACUUGAACAUAGGAAUACCAAGCGUCACCGGAACCUGCAACGCUACAUUACCAGAAGAGGAGAGCUGGAAGAUUCAAGUUAUCAUUCCAGGAAGGAUGUUUAGUGCCAUGAGAUUGGUUUUCGAAGCACCAACUUGGAGUUUAGGGAAGAGCAUGGCCGCACAUAUCGCCAUGGGACGCAUUGGAGAAGUCUACCACCAGGAGCUUAAGGAUACAAUUUACCAAAUUUGUGGAUGUCGAGACGCGCAAUGGGAGAUGAUCAAGACCAAGAAGGAUGGAUCUAUUGCAGCUUUCAUCCAGGAACAGAACCAACAUAUUCGUCGCCAGGAGAACCAGAUGUGCACGGACAAGGAAGAACUAAAGAAGGCAUUCACGAAGAUCAAGGAACUCCAAGAAGAACUCAAGACUACACGCGAAUAUUAUUUGGAGGAAAUCAACGCACUAGCAGGGAAGAUUGACGACUUGGAAAAUAAAAUUGGAUCAUUCGUGGGAAAUCCAGUGCCAAAAGCAGAAGUCGACGAAUGCACUUGUCCGGAUAACUACAUCAUCAUCGACGACACCGACUCGGAACCAAGUGAAGACGAUUGGAUUGAUGAAGCUGGAGCAGACAUCAUGGAGUCUUCAACGGAUCAGAAUUUUUAGUAGACCACCAUAUCAGUAGUAGUUUUCCCCCAUUUAGUAGUAUAGUUCAAGCACUUGUAACGCUAGUUAGAUCGAUUGUUUUGUCUUGUUUGGAUUGAUUGAGUGAUAUUGAUUGAAUUUGUCUCAUGAGCAUAUGGGUAGUGUUUUCUCUCUAGACCUCAUUCUAUUCUUAAUUCUCAUCUUUUCUAAACCCAUCAGAUGCCUCCGAGACGCGACACCGGAUUUGUUUUCCCGCCAGAAAUCACCCAGUUGAUUCAGCAACAGAAUGCCUUGAUGCAAGUGUUAGUUCAGAACCAAGGCAACAACAACAACAAUCCACCGCCACCACCACCUGUUGAUCACUUAGCCCGUUUCCUAAGGUUAAAUCCGCCGGUGUUUUCCAGUAGCACCGAGCCGAUUGUAGCAGAUGAUUGGCUCCGCAAAGUUGGAAGGGAGUUGACCACUGCAGGUUGCACAGAUGCGGAAAGAGUGCGUUUUGCCGCACAUCAGCUUGAUGGACCCGCAGCAUCAUGGUGGGAGAAUUAUACAGCCACGCACCCUAUUGACACUGUCACAUGGGACCAGUUUCAGCAAGCUUUCCGUACAGCUCAUGUUUCAGCAGGAGCUAUGGCUAUGAAGAAGCGUGAGUUUCGUAACCUACGCCAAGGAGGACGCACCGUAGGCCAGUAUGUGGAGGAAUUCAGUAAGCUAGCACGUUAUGCAACAGAUGACGUUGCUACGGAUGCAGCCAAGCAGGAAAAGUUUCUGGAAGGACUGAAUGACGAGCUGAGUAUGCAGUUGAUGAUAGCAACCUUCAACAACUACCAGGAGCUGGUAGAUAGAGCUCUCAUGAUUGAAGGGAAGCAACAGCAGAUUGAAAACCGUAAGAGGAAGUAUGGACAAGGGAAGUAUAACUCUGGAGCCCAGCAGAAGCCACGUUUUACCCCGAAGCCGGGAGUACAGUUUCAGCAUACCCAUGGAGGAGGUAGUUCGCACAACCAUAAUGGCUCCAAAAAUGGUAGUGGGAAUGGAGGAAGCAACGGACAGAACCGCACCAACCCAUCUACCCCAGCCAAGAGGGACCUGAGCCAAGUCACUUGUUUUAAGUGCCAGAAGAAUGGACAUUAUGCCAACGAAUGUCCCGAAGCCCAAAAUGGAAAUGGCAAUGGAAGCUCUGGGAAGAAGCCGAACCCGUUCAACAAAGGACAUGUGAACCACGUGAGCGUGGAGGAGAUUGAAGCUCAGCCUGAUGCAGUAAUAGGUAAGUUUUUGGUUAAGUCAUUUACUGCAACUGUUCUUUUCGAUACUGGUGCAUCGCAUUCAUACAUAUCAAGGGGAUUCGUGAACAAGUUUAAGAUGUCCACCAAAGUUCUCAGAAACCCUAUGUUAGUAACCUCGCCAGGAGCAGAGUAUAUGGCCACCCAAGGAUGUUUUCAGAUACCAUUGGCCAUUGGUAGGCAUGUUUUCCCCUCAGACCUCAUUGUUUUGGAAUCGCAAGGUUUGGAUGUGAUUCUGGGAAUGGAUUGGCUAUCGUUGUAUGGAGGAAACAUCGAUUGUGCCAGCAAGACGAUUUUGCUUACCACCCUAGAAGGAAAACAGAUCAAGUAUGUAUCCAGGCAUAUGCCGAAGAGGACUCAAGUAAAUUCCUUAUCAGGAGUUGUACAGGAGGGAGUACCAGUGGUGAAGGACUAUCCGGAUGUAUUUCCAGAAGAGUUGCCAGGCAUGCCACCAGACAGAGACAUUGAGUUUUUGAUUGAACUUUUGCCAGGCACCGGGCCAAUAUCUAAGAGACCGUACAGGAUGCCCGCUAAGGAUUUGGAGGAAAUUAAGAAACAGAUGAAGGAGUUACUGGAUAAAGGCUAUAUUCACCCAAGUUCGUCACCUUGGGGAUCACCAGUACUUCUAGUGGAGAAGAAAGAUGGAUCACUAAGGAUGGUUGUUGAUUACCGAGGAUUGAAUGAAGUGACCAUCAAAAACAAGUACCCACUGCCGAUGAUCAAUGAUUUGUUUGACCGCCUGCAAGGAGCUAAAGUAUUUUCCAAGAUCGAUCUACGAUCAGGAUACCAUCAGUUAAAGAUUCGAGAGCAGGAUAUACCCAAGACGGCAUUUACCACCAGAUAUGGAUUGUAUGAGUAUACCGUUAUGUCAUUUGGACUGACUAACGCACCUGCCUAUUUCAUGAACCUGAUGAACAAAGUAUUUAUGGAGUUUUUGGAUAAGUUCGUCGUGGUAUUCAUUGAUGAUAUUUUAAUCUUUUCCAAGGAUGAGGAAGAGCAUGAGGAGCAUUUGCGAUUGGUACUUGAGAAGCUCAGAGAACAUCAGUUAUAUGCCAAGUUCAGCAAAUGUGAGUUUUGGUUGAAGGAAGUUGGAUUCCUCGGACAUGUUAUUUCUGGAGAAGGAAUAGCAGUAGACCCUGCCAAGGUUGACACAGUGACAAGUUGGGAAUCACCCACGACAGUUGGAGAAAUCCGGAGUUUUCUUGGACUUGCAGGAUACUACCGGAGAUUCAUCGAGAAUUUCUCGAAGAUUGCUAAGCCCAUGACUGAGCUAUUGAAGAAGGACACCAAAUUCAAUUGGACUGAGGAAUGUGAAGCUAGUUUCCAAGAGUUGAAGAAACGAUUGGUUACAUCACCAGUGUUGAUUCUGCCAGAUCAACGCAAGGACUAUGAAGUUUAUUGCGACGCUUCUCGUUGAGGACUUGGAGCAGUGCUUAUGCAGGAAGGAAGAGUUGUUUCGUAUGCUUCACGACAACUUAAACCCCAUGAGAAGAAUUAUGCUAUGCAUGAUUUGGAAUUAGCAGCCGUGGUGCAUGCUUUGAAGACAUGGAGACAUUUUCUCAUCGGAAACCAUUGUGAGGUGUACACGGAUCACAAGAGUUUGAAGUACAUUUUCACGCAGAAGGAGUUAAACCUCAGACAGAGGAGAUGGUUGGAGCUCAUCAAGGAUUAUGACAUGAGAUUGCAUUAUCACCCCGGAAAGGCUAACGUAGUAGCAGACGCGUUGAGCCGCAAGAGUCAUAUCAGCACCCUCAUGACAGGAGAGUUACCUCAGGAGUUAGCCGAGGACCUACGCGAGCUAUGUUUGGAGAUAGUCCCGAGAGGCUAUUUAGCGACAUUGGAGAUUCAGUCUACCUUGAUGGAAAGGAUCAGAGAAGCUCAGAAGUCAGAUAAGGAGAUUAAAGAGAUAAAGGAGAAGUUGAGCAAAGGAAAAGCCAAGGGAUUUCGUGAAGAUGAGCACGAUACCUUAUGGUUUGAAGACCGUGUAUAUGUACCAAAUGAUCCGGAGAUCAGGAAGUUGAUUUUGCAAGAAGCCCAUGAUUCACCGUACUCGAUUCACCCAGGGAAUACCAAGAUGUAUUUGGAUUUGAAGAACACUUUCUGGUGGACCGGAAUGAAGAAGGAUAUUGCGGAGUAUGUAGCAGUUUGUGAUGUAUGUCAGAGAGUGAAGGCAGAGCAUCAGAAGCCAGCAAGAUUGCUGCAACCAUUGCCGAUACCCGAAUGGAAGUGGGAUAAAAUAGGCAUGGAUUUUAUCACAGGAUUACCAAGGACUCGUUCAGGCUAUGACUCGAUAUGGGUUGUAGUCGACCGUUUGAUGAAAGUGGCUCAUUUCAUUCCAGUAAAGACCACUUACACCAGUGCUAAGUUGGCUAAGAUAUACAUGACCAGGAUCGUAUGUCUGCAUGGAGUUCCGAGGACCAUUGUAUCAGACAGAGGAACCCAAUUUACCUCGAAGUUUUGGAAGCAGUUACAUGAAACAUUGGGAACCAGGCUGGAAUUUAGUACAGCAUUUCACCCACAGACAGAUGGACAGACCGAGAGAGUCAACCAGAUUUUUGGAGGACAUGUUGAGAGCAUGUGCACUAGAUUAUGGAUCUAGUUGGGACGACAAUUUGCCAUAUGCGGAGUUUUCAUAUAACAACAGUUAUGAAACCAGUUUGAAGAUGGCCCCUUUCGAAGCUUUGUACGGAAGGAGGUGUAGAACACCGUUGCUAUGGGACGAAGUUGGAGACCGUCAGUUGUUUGGACCAGAUUUGAUUAAGGAGUCUGAACAGAAAGUAAGGUUGAUUUGCGAUAGGCUCAAGGUAGCCCAGUCCAGGCAAAAGAGCUAUGCUGAUUCUAAACGCAAGGAGACAGUUCACGAAGUCGGAGACCGAGUGUAUCUUCGAGUAUCACCCCUUCGAGGAGUGAAGCGCUUUGGAGUUAAGGGAAAGUUAGCGCCCCGUUUUAUCGGACCAUACAGAGUGUUGGAACGUAUGGGAGAAGUUGCUUACAAGCUGGAGUUGCCCGAAGGAUUGUCUGAAGUACAUGAUGUAUUUCAUGUUUCGCAGUUGAAGAAGUGCCACGCAGAGAUGGCUGAGAUACCACUGAGAGAUACUGUGCCACUGGAAGCGAUUCAGUUGGAAAGUGAUUUGACUUAUGAGGAGAAACCAGUUAAGAUUCUCGAGUAUGCCAGCCGAGUUACCCGCAGCAAGGUCAUCAAGUUUUGCGAAGUUCAGUUGAGUCACCACACGGAAGAUGAGGCCACCUGGGAGCGAGAGGAAGAUCUACGGAAAAACCACUCCCACCUGUUUUCUAGCCAACCCGAAUCUCGAGGGCGAGAUUCAUCUUAAGGGGGGUAGGUUUGUAACAUCCCAAAUUUUCAAUUUGGAAUGUUAUACAUAGAGCAUCAUUGCAUAUUAUUUUUUAUUGCAUUUUGACAAAUCCUCGAUAAAUCCUAAGCAACUCAAGACCCUCGGAGAGAGUUGGGGAUUUUCUCGAAUUUUCUUUUGAUUUUUCAGACGAGGAUUUUGGUUUUAAUUAUUUUCUCUCCGGAAAAACAUUUCAUUCUUAAAAUAAACGAGAGGAGAAAACAUGACUUCUCCAAAAAUAUUGAAAUACCGGAGGAAAAAUGUUAAAAUCAUUAUUUGGAAAUUAUUUGGAUUUUAUUUGUAAUUUUUAUUGCAUUUAAAAAUAUGCGUGUUUUCAAAGUAUUUAUUUUUGAUUUUACAAAUGUUCACCCUAUUCUAGAUUUUCUAACUAGACGGGGAAAAUUUAUUUCAUAUUUUUCUGAUUUUUAUUUAUUUUUCUACGCACUUUUCUUCGUGGAUUUGUUUUUUUAAAAAAAAGAAACGCCCGCGCCGACUGGGCCAAAGGCCCAGCCNNNNNNNNNNNNNNNNNNNNNNNNNNNNNNNNNNNNNNNNNNNNNNNNNNNNNNNNNNNNNNNNNNNNNNNNNNNNNNNNNNNNNNNNNNNNNNNNNNNNNNNNNNNNNNNNNNNNNNNNNNNNNNNNNNNNNNNNNNNNNNNNNNNNNNNNNNNNNNNNNNNNNNNNNNNNNNNNNNNNNNNNNNNNNNNNNNNNNNNNNNNNNNNNNNNNNNNNNNNNNNNNNNNNNNNNNNNNNNNNNNNNNNNGAGGUAGUUCUCGCCCCGUUGACCGGUUUUUUUAAAACAAAAAAAACCCUUCGUUUAAAAAAACCCUAGAUCGGUUUUUUUUCGGUUUUCUUAUUUUACGAGCGUUCACCGAACCGUUCGUUUUAACGAACGCGUUCAUCGGUUUUUCUCUGUUAACGAACGUCCGUUAUUUAACCGUUCGUCCGUUUUUCUUUUCGUCGGAUUUUUCUCAUUAUUUUCUCAGAUUCGAUUUCUGAUCGAAUCUUCGUUUCUGUUUAACUUCUCGCUCGUUUAUCAGAAUGAGGUGAUUCAAGCGCCUAGAGUUUCGUCUCGAAAUUCUCUUUCCGUUUAACCUACUCAAACAAGUUUUUGCUACAGUAAAAUUUGACCUAGAUCCAGAUUAGCAAACGAAGUUUCUUUCUUCCGCCGUUUGACUUUCGUUGUUUCUUUCGAGUUGAUUCUUUUUGCAAACCGGAGUUCUUAAGUUGAACUUUCUGGUUGGAUCUUUCAUUCGAGUUUUACCUGUGCAUUAGUUGAGUACUGAUUGUAUGCUUGUUUGUUUGCGAUAGAGUACCCGGAGUGUGCCGCUUGUUACUUCGAAUCGCUAGGUUUUGCGGAUCAUCAGCAAGGAAAGUAACACUUUGAUCAUACCCCGUUCAUACCCAGUUUUAUUGCAUUAGAUCUAUUCCUUCAAACACAUUGCAUGAUUAGGAUCUAAUAAACUGUGGGUAUUGGGAAGUAGUUGAGGUAGUACCUAUUACCUGUUUUUCUAUCAAACCCUUGGGAGUUACUUCUACGUUGCUUUUAUUAUUGCCAUGCUAUGCUCGUAGACGUGGAUUGGGUUUGAGUGAAAUUCAUGACAGAUGUGAGAUUGUUAAUUAAUGGUUUACUUAAGGUGGCAACUUAAACUCACAUCUGGGUGGAUUGAGGUACCUGGGUAUUCCAGGAUUGCCUGUUUUUCUUUUGGACCGCCACCAAGGUUCAAAGGGAUCAUGAGAUUUUUCAUGCUAGAAACUUCCGUGUGCAGCCGCAAGCUAUUAUGGGCUCUAGCAUAGUUGAUUAAGUUGUGUGAACUCUUACAGUGGUAGACUAGCAGAUGUAGGGGAAAGUAGGUGUAACGGUCUACCCAUAUGUAAGGUGCAAACACUUCUGAAAGACUGUGUCUUGGUCAUCCGUUACUCAAACACCAUGUAGUGCGAGUAAUCCAACGGAGGAGAUCAAGUCUUGUGGGAAAAGUGCACAAACCUCUGCAGAGUGUACAAACUGAUCCUGAUUAGCCGUGUCCCCGGUUAUGGACAACUUGAGUAUCUAGUACUUGGAUUAUCAUGUGAAUCUCAACACUAUGUUACUUCUAAUUAAUUUUGUUGGGUUAUUGAUGAUUUUUAAUUGGGAUUGAGAUGCUGUCAACCAUCUCAAUGUUUCACAACCACCAUGAUAGUUAAAUAAAAUUUAUUCCUUUGAAGUAGGAUAAAAUUGGCUUUUCGCAAAACUGUAACCAUAGAGCUUUCCACCAGCCAUAUAUGCAUAUAGUAUAGCAUUAUUAUUGUUCAUUAUUCUCUAUGUGUUACAUUGCCAGCAUAUUCCAUGUGCUGGCCCGUUUUCGGGCUGCAACGUUUCAUGUUGCAGACUUUUCAGACGACGAGUAAGGUGCCUUAGGUCGUGGUCUUAUACUCAGUGAUGCCGCUGGAGUUGAUGGACUCACUUAUCUUCCAAGUCUUCCGCUGUUAUCGUUAUUAGAUGGCCUUAAGCCAUGUUUAUUAUACUUAGUCUCUAUGGAGAUAUUCGAUGUAAUAAGUGUGUGAUUGCUACUCUGUUAUAAAUCUCCAUUUGUACUGUGCGUGUCAGCAUUACUGAUCCAGGGAUGACACUAGUGCACAGCAGCACAGGCCAUUUGAGGUCUGGUCGCUACAGAUAAUAUCCCGCAAGUCUAAGAAAACUACGGGUCUCUCCAACUGAGGUGGGUGGUAGCCAAUCAGUGACUGACUUAACCUUGGUAGGAUCCACGGCUAUACCUUCUCCUGAUAUAACAUGUCCAAGAAAUCCUACUUCCUUCAACCAAAACUCGCAUUUGCUGAACUUGGCAUAUAGCUAAUGUUCCCUGAGCUUCUCGAGAACUAAACGCAAAUGCUCCUUGUGUUCCUCUUCAUUCUUCGAGUAUACCAAAAUAUCAUCAAUGAACACCACAACAAACUUAUAAAAGAACUCCAUGAACACCUCAUUCAUCAUACUCAUGAAGUAGGCUGGGGCAUUAGUCAAUCCAAAUGACAUAACUGUAUACUCAUAUAACCCGUACCUUGUGGUGAAAACUAUCUUAGGUAUAUCCUGUUCUCGAAUCUUCAACUGGUGGUAUCCUGAUCGCAGAUUGAUCUUGGAGAAUACUUUAGCUCCUUGCAGCUGAUCAAACAAAUCAUUGAUCAUCGGCAGUGGGUACUUGUUCUUGAUCGUCACUUCAUUCAAUGCCCGAUAAUCAACAACCAUUCUCAAGGAUCCAUCCGUCUUCUCAACCAAGAGCACUGGGGCUCCCCAUGGUGACGAACUUCGUCGAAUGUAACCCUUCUCCAAUAACUCCUUGAUCUGCUUCUUAAUCUCCUCCAGAACAUUUGCGGGCAUCCGGUAUGGUCUCUUCGAUAUCAGUUCGGUGUCUGGCAACAGCUCUAUCAAAAGCUCAAUGUCUCGAUCCGGCGGCAUGCCUGGUAACUCCUCUGGAAAUACAUCCGGAUAAUCCUUCACUAUAGGCAGUUCCUCCUGAACAACUCCUGAGAGGGAAUUUACUUGGGUCCUCCUCGGCGCAUGCCUGGACACAUACUUGAUCCUUUUUCCCUCCGGGGUAGUGAGCAAAAUUGACUUACUGGCGCAAUCGAUGUUUCCUCCAUACAUCAACAGUCAAUACAUUCCUAGUAUCACAUCCAAUCCUUGUGACUCCAAAAUUAUUAUGUCUGAGGGGAAAACAUGGCUACCAAUGGUUAAGGGUAUCCGAUCGCACCAUCAGCUGGCCAUAUACUCUGCUCCUGGUGAGCUUACUAGCAUGGGUGACCUAAGGGCUAAGGUGGGUAGCUUAAACUUGUGCACAAAUCCCCUUGAAAUGUAUGAAUGCGAUGCACCAGUAUCAAAAAGAACGAGAGCGGUAAAUGACUUAACCAAAAACUUACCGAUAACUGCAUCUGGCUGCUCUUCAACCUCCUCCACGUUAACGUGGUUCACUUGUCCCCUGUUGAAAGGGUUGGGCUUCUUUCCAGAGCUUCCAUUGCCAUUACCAUUCUUUGCUUCAGAACACUCGGUGGCGUAGUGUCCAGUCUUCCCGCACUUGAAACAAGUAAUGUGACUUAGAUCCUUCUUGGCGGGUGUGGCUGGGUUAGAGCGGUUCUGAUUGCUGCCUGCUCCAUCCCGUUUCCAUUCUUGGGGCCACUAUGGUUAUGCGAACUUCCUCCAUAGUGGGUAUGGCCUCCAUGGUUAUGGGUAUAUCCUCCCGAGUUCGAGGUAAAACGAGGCUUCUGCUGAGCUCCUGAAUUGUACUUCCCUUGUCCAUACUUCCUUUUGCGGCUCUCAAUCUACUGCUGCUUCCCUUCAAUCAUAAGAGCCUUAUCUACCAACUCCUGGUAGUUGUUAAAUGUUGCCACCAUUAACUGCAUACUCAUCUCAUCAUUCAGCCCUUCCAUAAACUUCUCCUGCUUCGCGGCAUCUGUAGCCACAUCAUCUGGGGCAUAGUGGACUAACUUGCUAAAGUCAUCCACGUACUGCCCCACAGUACGGUUUCCCUGGCAUAAGUUGCGAAACUCAUGUUUCUUCAUGCUCAUAGCUCCAGUUGAGACAUGAGCAGUGCGGAAUGCUUGCUGAAACUGCUCCCAAGUGACAUUGGCUAUAGGGAAAGUGGCUGUGUAAUUCUCCCACCAUGAGGUUGCGGGUCCAUCCAAUUGAUGUGCGGCGAAACGCACCUUCUCAGCAUCUGUGCAACCUGCGGUGGUCAACUCCCUUCCAAUCCUGUGUAGCCAGUCAUCUGCAACUAUUGGCUCGGUGCUACUGGAAAACACCGGCGGCUGCAACCUUAGAAAACGGGCUAAGUUGUCAACUGGAGGUGGUGGCGGUGGGUUGUUGUUGUUGCCUUGGUUCUAGACUAGUAGCUGCAUCAAGGCAUUCUGUUGUUGGAUCAACUGAGUGAGCUCCGGUGGGAAGACAAAUCCGGGGUCACGUCUCGGAGGCAUCUGAUGGGUUUAGAGGGGAGAGAUUAGAAUAGAAUGAGGUCUAGUGAGAAAGCACUACCCAUAUGCACAUGAGACAAACACAUUCAUAUCACACCAAAUCAAUGCAAGCAAGGGCAUACAAUCGAUCUAACUAUCAUUACAGUGCUCGAACUACUACUAUAUACAUGGGGAAAUACUACUGAUAAUAUGGUGGUCUACUAGAAAUUUUGAUCGGUGGAAGACUCGAUGAUAUUUGCUCCAGCCUCGUCUUCAUAAUCAUCAUCACUACUGUCGGGGUCGGAGUCGGUGUCGUCGAUGAUGAUGUAGUCUUCCGAACGGAUGUCAUCGGGAUGGCCGUCAUCUCCUCCUGGCGUGGGGUCUCCCAUGAAUACUCCUAGCUUCCUUGUCAGGUCGUCAUUCUUCUCCACUAGUAUUGCGAUUCCCUCCUCGUAUCCGUCGCGUGUAGACUUGAGUUCCUCUUCAAGCUCCAUGUUCCUGGUCAUCACCUUCUUCAAUUCUAUCAUGCUUGCGCACAUCUGGUUCUCCUGGCGACGAAUGUGCUGGUUUAACUCCUGGAUGAAAGCUGCAAUGGACCUGUCCCUCCUGGUGCUGAUCAUCUCUCAUUGCUCAUAUCGGCGCCAACAUAUCUGGCAGAUGGUGUCCUUAAGAUCCUUGUGAUAAAGUUCGCCAAUGCGUCCCAUGGCGAUGUGGGCUGCCAUGCUCUUUCCUAGACUCCAGGUUGGUGCAUCAAAGGAAAACUCUAUGGGCUCAGUGACUGGCGUGAAUGUCCAUCCUGGAACUUGAACUCGAAUCAUCCAACGCUCCUCUUCUGGUAAAGUGGCGGUGUAGGUCCCGGUGAAGCUUGGUAUUCUGAUGUUCAGGUACCUAGUGACUUCCUUCAUGUGUCUCCCGAAAGGGGUGUCUUCAUCCAGUUGUGCAAACUUGUUCCUUGAGUCUGCCAUCCUAUAGAGUGGAAAAUGGAGAGGAGUCAGAAAUGAGUAGAGAAGAGUGACCUAUGGCUCAUCUUAGUGGUCGUGUCCUACAAUCAGCGUGUGCUCUGAUACCAUCUUGUAGCGAUCCGACCUCAGACGGUCAAAUCUCUGUGCAUAAGUGUCACCCCUGGAUUGGUAAUGCUGACACACACGGUACUUGAAGGAUUUAUAACAAAGUUCAAUCACACACUUAUUACAUUGAAUGUCUCAAAAGAUAACUUAUUACAAUAAAUAUGGCUUAAGGCCGUCUAAAAAGAUAACAGCGGAAGGCUUGGAAGAUAAAUUGAGUCCAUCAACUCCAACGGCAUAGCUGAGUGCACGACAACAACCUAGCGCACCUUACUCUUCGUCUGAAAAGUCUGCAAUAUGAUAUGUUGCAGCCCGAAAUGGGUCAGCACAUGGAAUAUGCUGGCAAUGUAACACAGUAGAGCAAUGAACAGAAUAACUGCUAUCACUACAUGCAUAUAUGGCUGGUGUAGGCUCUAUGGUUACAAUGUUUUGCGAAAAGCCAAUUUUUUCCUACAACAAAGGAAUAUAUUUUGUUUAACUAUCAUGGUAGUUGUUAAACAUUGAGAAGGUUCCUCCAACUCAAUCCCAAUUAAGCAGUAUUAAUAACCCAACAAAUUAAUUAGAGUGAUGAGAUCAACAUGAUAAUCCAAGAACCAGAUACUCAAGAUGUCCAUAACCGGGGACACGGCUAACCAUGAUUAGUUUCUACACUCUGCAGAGGUUUGCGCACUUUUACCCACAAGACUCGAUCUCCUCCGUUGGAUUUCUCGCACUACAUGGUGUUUGAGAAAUGGAUGACCAAGACACAGUCUUUCAGAAGCAUUAACUCUUUACUCUGGGUAGACAGUACCAACCUACAUCCCCUACAUCUGCUAGCCUACCACUAAAAGAGGUCAUGCAACAUACUCAACUAUGCUAGAGCCCAUAAUAGCUUGUGGCUGCACACGAAAGUUUCUAGCAUGAAUAAUCUUAUGAUCUCUUUGAGCCUGGGUGGCCAAUAGGAUGAUCACACGGGUACUCCGGGAUAUCCUAGGACAACACUGGAUUCUCCAGGUACCUGCAACCAAUCCACCCAGAUGUGUAUUUAAGUAGCCACCUUAAGUUAACCAUUAAUUAACAAUCUCACAUCCGUCAUGGAAACACUCAAACCCAAUCCACGUCUAUGAGCAUAGCAUGUCAAUAUAAGCAUAACGUAGAAGUAGCUCCCAAGGGUUUGAUAAUGAAAGGACAAUAGGUUCUACCUCGUCAACUACUUCCCAAUACCCACAUGUUAAUGUCGGAUUUCGGGUUCUGGCAAAACCCUUGAGGUUCGAACACUGGGGUGCGCACGAAGAUCUCUCCUCUCCCACGCUCUCACACUCCACGAUCUCACGGACUAGCUUGUCGAACCCAAAGAACACAAGGUCACAAGAUUUAUACUGGUUCGGGCCACCGUUGUGGUGUAAUACCCUACUCCAGUGUGGUGUGCUGGAUUGCCUCUCGGGCUGAGGAUGAACAGUACAAGGGGAAGAACAGCCUCCUGAGGUGAGGUGCUCUUGUGCUUGGUGGGUGUGAGGAUGAACUGAAUGAGUUCGAGACGAGUUCCCCCUACUAUGGUGGCUAGCCCUAUUUAUAGAGGCCCUGGUCCUCUUCCCAAAUAUUGAGCGGGAAGGGAUGCCACAACGGCCAAUUUAAAGGGGGACAGCUAGUACAAGCUAUCCUGACAAAAGCAGUCUUCGCCUGCCAAAGGCUCUGGUGGUGACGCCGUCUUGGGCUCCACGGUGACCUCCGUCCUGCCGUCCUGCUAGUCUUGGUCUCGUUGCAGAGAUAUGGAAACCUUUGCCUGAUGCCUUGGUACUCCUCGCCUGCGCUUGCCUCCUUAGCACCAAAGAGGAAGCAAGGACAUUGUGCACGCUGGCGCCCGCCUGGUGCCCGCCUGGCCUUGGUCGUCAUGGCUUACGUCACGGGAAACUUCGCGAGGUACCCCCCUUGCCUUGAUCUCUCCGCCCCUCACGAGCCAGCCUAGUGAGGCCGCUCCCGAGGAGGUCUUGUGUCAUCCGCCUCGCCAGGCUUGGCCCCUCGCAAGGGUCUCGAGUGCUUGCUAGCAAAGAUGGGCCUUACGGGCCCACUUGUGGAGCCACUCCGUGGGCCGCAGGCAGGCAAGUCUAGGGACCCCAUUCCUAGAACGCCGACAGUAGCCCCCGGGCCCAAGGCGCGCUUGGACUUGGCUUCGAGGCAAAGCCAAAGGGCAAGUGCAGAGCGCCGCGGGCUCCAACAGCCUGCGGCCUUGGUCGACGCGUGGCGGUUGAUUAGACGUGGGCGUCUCCGCUUCCCCACGCUGCCUCGACAACUGCCCGGCUAACAAAAAGGCUGGCGUGGGCAAUGCUUGCCUUCAUUGCUUCCUUCCGCCUUGCUCCAGAUCCCCUUUCUUGCCCCUUGCUUCCGAACUCUCCAGAUCUGCUCCCAUCCCCUUCCGAAUCAGCGACCAAUGGCGCCCCAGAAGGUCAAGGCUUCUUCGCCGCCCGCCUGGUACGAGCCGGCUCUAGAUGCGCCCAAUGUCUCGGAGAGGAACCUCACUGUCAUGCGCCUACUGACGGCGGGAGAGAGCAACGAGAGGGGGAAGACCGAGCUCCGGGCUGGCUCUGCCGUGCCGGAGCCCGAGGAAAGCACCUUCUUCCCCUUCUUCAUGAGCAGCAUCGUCGCGGGGCUGGUUCCCCCCUUCUCCGACUUCUUAUAUGAGGUCCAUGGCCAUUACGGGCUGCAGGCGCUGCACCUCCAUCCCAACUCUGUUAUCCUUCUGUCGAUCUUCGCCUUCUACUGUGAGGCGUACCUCGGAGUGAUGUCCUCCGUGGCUCUGCUGCGCCACUUCUUCUUCCUUCGCAUCAAUGAUGUUCGUACCUCCGGGUGCACCAACUUCAUCGCGGCCGGCAAGGCCAACUUGAUCUCGAAGGCCGAGAAGAAGGCCGACGACUUCAGGGGUAAGUGGGUCAUGAUGGAUGCCAAGUGCGUCCACCCAUGCUUGGUGCUGCCAACGGAAAUGCCCCAGUCUGACGUGGGGUGGUCUUGUGUGAAGCUCACUGACGACCGGGUGGCGCCGGUGUUGGAGAAGAUGAAUGCCGACCUGAAGCCUGGCAACGCGAGGGCGGCGAAGGUGACAGGGGCCAUGCUCCUGUGGGAGUUCCUGAUGCUGCGCGUGGCCCCGCUUCAGGCGCGUAUGCGCCCCAUGUGGAGGCUUGGGGUGAAGAGGACAAGCUUCGCCUGAGCCCGACAGCCCUGCCUGCCGAAGAGUUGGCCGUGGCUCUCCGCCUCCUGGUUGGGGACGACUAGGAAUACCCGCCGAGCGCCUUCGUUCCCCUGUUCCUCCGCAAGGACGGGGCGCGGGUUGCGGCCGCCAUGCCCACCUUUGGUGGGCGCAGACUAGUGCCGCCAGCGCCUCCUGCUGUCUCGGCUGCGGCGGCGCUAGUGGACUUGUCCACUGACGACUCUCGCCAGGAUGAGGAAGAGGAGGACGACGAGGAGCACGACUCGGAAGCGACCCCUGAGGGGAUGGGGGAGACUUCCCCCUUGCGCAAGGCCGACAUCCUCCACGCCCUUCCUGACGACGACGAGGCCGUCGUCCACCGGGAGAAGGGAGAGCUGCCCAUGAUCCCGACGAGGGGCCGGUCGGCGCUGAUCUCCCGAGAUGCUGCUUCCGGCCCACCUGCUGCUCCUUCUUCUGCUCCUGGGGCCCGUGCGCCCGCGCCCCAGGCUAGGAGGCUCUCGGGCUUCAAGCUUAGCAAGAGGAGGGUGGACUACACCGCCGUGGACCAGUAAGUGCUCUUGCCUUGUUUCAUUCUUGCUUCUGCUGCUUGACCUUGACGCUUCCCGGUUGCGCGAUCAGGCCAAUGCCUGCGGCGAAGAAGAGGAAGGAGGAGGCGAUGGUGCCGCUCGAGACCAGUCCGCCUGCUCCGGCUGUGUCUCCCUCCGUGGAGAAGGGCAGCGCUGGCGCUCAUGUCCCUCAGGAGGAGUCAGCCCUUGUGGCCCCGCUGGCUCUAGAGGCGCCGGUGUCCGGCUCGGCUGCCGAGGUCUCAAGGCUCAGGAGCCCCCAGUCUCCCAGGCCUUGGUGACGACACCUUCUCCUUCUCCUCCCGCUAUGCCACUGAUUCCAGGUCCUUCUGCUUCUCCUGGUGUCUUGGAGCGCGCCCUUUUGGAGAUGGCCCAGCUGCGAGAAGAUCUCCAGGGUGCCGACUCCCACCUGGUAGCCGGGCACCUGGAGCUGGUCUCUGGCUGGCUUCAUUCCGACGUGUGCGUUCGAGCGACGCUGGGCCAAGCCGCGGCGGCCUCCGAGAAGGAAAAGCAGGCCACCGCCCAAGCUGCGGCUGCUCAUGAAGUGGCGCUGAAGGAUGCCGAAGCCGCCCAGGAUCGCUGCCGGGGGCUGGAGGCCGAGCUGAAGGCCCUGCGCGACAAGCGUGCGGAAGAGGCUCGUGGCCGCGAGGCGAAGGAGGAGAAGAUGAACGCCCGGGAAGACUCCAUCAAGGAUCGCGAUGCCGAGCUAGGAGAGUUGGCGAAGGCGCGGGCCGCGGAACGCAGCCGACUGGAGGAGCUGGAGCGGAAGGUGGAGGCGGAGAAAGCCAGUCUUGAUGCCAAGGCGAAGGUCCUGGCCGAGGACCGCGCAGCCUUCAUGCUUCUCGAGGAGAGGUCCCGCGUGGCACUGAAGGCGCUGUAGGAGAAGGGCUUGGAGAGGCCGCUGACCACCGACGAGGACGGCCCCGCCCAGCUGCUUCCCUAAUUGGUUGACGCGCUUGAGGAGGUUGUGAGCGGCAUCGAUCCCAUGGCCGAGGAAGAAGCCCGCGUUCUUUCCUCAGCUGCGUUGACGCGUGUCUUCAGCCACCUCCAUCUUUGCGAUCCCGAUGCCCGCCUUGACGAGCUGCUGGAGCUUGUGGACGACGAGUGUUGUGCGGCCGCUGCCGCGGCUGUGAAGGGUCAGGUGAGGCCCUGCUGAAGAAGUUCCGCGCCUUCGCUCUCGCGCCUCUGACCAGCGGUGCUCCUGAUCCUGCAGCCCCGACCGGUGGUAUAGGUGAGGGCGACGCCAUCAAGGAAGGAGCACCCUUUGCUGGUGAUGGCGGUGCCCAAGGGUGACCUGCUCGCGGCUGCUUUCCUGUUUUACUCCUGCAACAUGCAUCAUGCCUCGUGGAGGCGUUUAAACUUGUGUUUGAUAUUUGGGAGAACAACAUGUCUUGUAAUAUUUGCUUUGAGAUUUUGCGCUUUUCUUCCUAUUUGCUUUACAUUCUACGUCGACAGAGCCGGCCCCGCGCAUACCUCGGCCGCCGUUGGAUCGUCCGGAGACCAGGACGAGACCAAGGGGUGACGGGCUACGUGACCAGUUAGGCUCCUGAGUCGCGAUGCUCAGGAGUCCCCCUUGAUGCGCAAACAACUUAUAGGAAGGGGACGCAGGAGUAGGUUUAGUGUUCCACGUCGGCAGGGCCCGGCCCCGCGCAUACCUCAACCGCCGUUGGGCCAACCGGAGAUCAGGACGGAACCAAGGAGUGAGGGGCUACGUGACCAAUUAGGCUCCUGAGUCGCGAUGCUCAGGAGUCCCCCUUGACGUGCAAACAACCUUCAUACCUUUGUCCUCGCCGAGGCUCGGCUCAGGAGGGGCGCGUGACGACCAGGUCCGGGGGACCUGGCUGGGUGGCGUACGCUUGGGCGUGACCUGAACGCAGCCCCCAUGACCAGCCCCCUCACGCGACUCUCCCGAGGGGAGGUGUUGCGAUGAGGCCGGACACUGAGCUCAAGGGCUCCCUGAGGUUGAUACGGCCGCGAGGCCGCCCUCAGUUGUUUAUCACCAGUGCAGAGCAUAGCGCUUCCGCACUUGCAUGGGCAUAGCCACUCCUCGGCAGUGUUGACGGCCAGCACGGAGCAUGGUGCUUCCACUGGUGCGUGGGAGGGGACUCCCUACUGCGGAGAGCCCCCGGGGCGUGUACAACCCCGCCCUGACACGUGGCUUGCACGGCAGGGCUAGACGAGGUGUGGCUAGGCACUCGCGAGCCAGCGCGGGACUCACGAGGCCCUACCUCAAGGCGGGUUGCACCUGGUCUUGAUUCUUGAUGACUGUGGUGGCCCUGCGAGGUGGUUAGACAACCUGCGCCGAACGAAUCUCCUGAGGCUAUCGCAUGAGGGGGCCAAGCACCAACGACCCCAGGAGGUGACGUGAAUGGGGCCGGCCCGCCAGACAGAGCUCAGCCGUUGGGUUUAUCAACGCUACAGGGACGGGCCCGAGCACAGACGCCGUGCCAAGCCUCCUCAUGCGAAGGAUCUUGAAGAAAGGUGCUCGGCGUGCGGCUCCCAUUGCGGGUGACAAUUAAGCAGGUAGCAGCCAUAUAUAGAUCAUGCAUGGAAAGCGAACUGACUUAGGUAAAUGCACGAACGAUUCAUGCCACUAGGUCAGGCCGGAGCGGCUUGGGGAUGAUGCAGCCCGUGGGGCACCCCCAGCAAGGUAAGCUAAAGAUGUAAAGGGAUACAUGCCACAGGGACAGACCCACGCGGCCUGGGAAUGAUGCAGCCCGAAGGGCGCUCCCAGCUAAGUGAACUUGGAAAAUGUCACCUGGUUCCGUCGUAGAAGGGGUGUUGGGGCAGCUCAAGAUGUGUGGUGCAGGGGUUGCUCCUAAUGAGGUGCCGGGAUUCUGAGCCUUGGGAGGCCCUGGGGGUCCAGGUGGGUCCUUGAGGACUGUCUCCAUCUCCGCCAGGACUGCGUGGUGCCUGGCCUCCUGAGCCGCCAAGAUGCUCCGCAAGCCGCGCUGGAAGGCGGACGCCACGCUCGGCAGGCCAAAGGGCAUGCGAACGUAGCUGUGAGGUGGGCCCUCGCAGCAUCCCACGCGCGAAGGCCAGAAGAGCUCCUGAGACGCGGCCCUGUUGAGCCCUGGGACGUCGAUGCAGACGCGCAGCCCGGCAUCCUCGCCUAGAUGGGGAGCUGCGCCCAGUGAGCGGCGGUCGCCGCGCAUGGCUCUUGCAUCCUGCAGUUCUCGAGUGGUCUGGGCAAUGAAUUCCUGAGUGCCGGGCGCUCCUCAUCUGGUGUCCUCCUGAGGGAAACGUGCUGCAAAGCACGCCUCCAUGUGGUGUCCGAGCGCCUCCCUCGUGAUCCUGGCGUGGGCCACGGUCGUCCCAACGUCCUCCGCCAUGUCCUCCUCCUCGGCCGUAGCCCGGGUCAUUGCGCUCGGGGCGUCGACCAAAGCGUCCAUCCCGGAUGGCCUUGAGCUAUUGACAGUCGUUGGUGUUGUGGUUGUGCAUGUUGCGGAAGUCGCAGAACGGUCGGCUGCUCUUGGACGACUCAGGCUGGUCCCUGCCGCGCUUCAUGUCUGGCUCCGCCGCGAGCACGACGACUCCCUUGCGCUUCACAUCCUUGGCCUUGGCUUUCAUCUCCUCCGGGUCGGUGGCGGGGAGCUCGAGGAGGGAAAGGCACCCUUCCUCAUCUCUCGCGCACUUGGUUGCCAGGUUGAACAGCUCCAGAGAUGUGCACAGCUCCUCGUGGAUGGCGAGCUCCUCCUUCAUCUUGACGUCGCGGACACCAUCAGAGAACGCCGAGAUGAUGGCCUCGUCCGUCACCUUGGGGAUCUUGAGGCGAACGUUGUUGAAACGCUGGAUGUACUUCUCGAGGGUCUCUCCUGGUUGUUGCUUGACGCGGCGCAGGUCACCCGCGGCUGGGGGGCAGUCGUGAGUGCCCUGGAAGUUGGCGACAAAGCGGUCGCGCAUCUCGUCCCAGGAGGAGAUCGAGCCCGGAGGCAGGUUUAGGAGCCACGAACGAGCAUCGUCCUUGAACACCAUGGGGAACCAGUUCGCCAUGACUUUCUCGUCGCCGUUGGCCGCCUCGAUGCUCAGCUCGUAGAGCUGCAAGAACUCUGCAGGGUCGAGGGUGCCAUCGUAGCGAGGAGGCAGAUCCGGCUUGAACUUGCUCGGCCAGGCGAUGCUACACAGCUCGGGGGUGAAGGCGCGACAGCCUGCUGUGGUCGCCGGGGCUCGCCGUGCAGGUGGAGCUUGAUCUUGGUGCGCCCGCGCCGCCACAGCAAGUGGUGCACGGCCCUGCCGCAGCAAGCGAUCCUAAUGUGGCAGUGCGAGGAGCGGUGGAGCAUUCUCUUGCGAUCGAGGAACUUCUUGACAGCUUCUUUCUUCACGCGCGGGUGCUUGGCGCGGCAGGUCACGCCGCGGGGCUGCUUGUCUUGGUGUCAGGGCGCCAUCUUGGCGCAGAGGUGGUGGAGGUGCUCCGUGAGCUACGUCGCCUGUAGCCGGCGGUGGACGAGGCAGCAAGAGGGAUGGUGCAGGGGAGCCCCCUACGGCGCUGACGAGCUCGGCGAUGCGGUCCAACCAGUCCUCGCAGAGGUCUACCGGGCGGUAGCGCAGGAGCUCGUGUGCCAUGAGCAGUGCGGCCCGCGCGUCCGUGGGAGCACGACGAGCGUGAGAUGACGAACCGGCGGGGGUCAGUGACGGAGUGGCGGUGCGGCCAUCCCGCCGCACCAAGGGGUGCAGCGAGGACGCCUGCUUCUUGUUUCCAGCCGGGCCGGUGGCAGAGUUGGCGGCGGGUGACGGAGAACGACGGGGAGGCCCGCCGACAGGAGUCGUCUGAGCGACGCGGGCGGCAAGGGCGGCCCAGUGCUCAGCGCGGGUGCGACGAGCAUCCGACAUGGUUGUGGUGGAGCGGUGAAGCACGGAUCGACGAGAGUAGGGCAUCAGCGCACCCCUACCUGGCGCGCCAAAUGUCGUAUUUCGGGUUCCGGCAAAACCCUUGAGGUUCGAACACUAGGGUGCACACAAAGAUCUCUCCUCUUCCACGCUCUCACACUCCACGAUCUCAAGGACUAGCUCGCCGAACCCAAAGAACACGAGGACACAAGAUUUAUACUGGUUCGGGCCACCAUUGUGGUGUAAUACCCUACUCCAGUGUGGUGUGGUGGAUUGCCUCUCGGGCUGAGGAUGAACAGUACAAGGGGAAGAACAGCCUCCUGAGGUGAGGUGCUCUUGUGCUUGGUGGGUCUGAGGAUGAACUGAAUGAGUUCGAGACGAGUUGCCCCAUACUAUGGUGGCUAGCCCUAUUUAUAGAGGCCCUGGCCCUCUUCCCAAAUAUUGAGCAGGAAGGGAUGCCACAACGGCCAAUUUAAAGGGGGACAGCUAGUACAAGCUAUCAUGACAAAAGCAGUCUUCGCCUGCCAAAGGCUCUGGUGGUGACGCCGUCUUGGGCUCCACGGUGACCUCUGUCCUGCCGUCCUGCUGGUCUUGGUCUCGUUUGCAGAGAUAUGGAAACCUUUGCCUGAUGCCUUGGUACUCCUCACCUGCGCUUGCCUCCUUAGCACCAAAGAGGAAGCAAGGACACUAUGCGCGGUGGCGCCCGCCUGGCCUUGGUCGUCAUGGCUUACGUCACAGGAAACCUCGCGAGGUACCCCCUUGCCUUGAUCUCUCCGCCCCUCACGCGCCAGCCUAGUGAGGCCGCUCCCGAGGAGAUCUUGAGUCGUCCGCCUCGCGAGGCUUGGCCCCUCGCGAGGGUCUCGAGUGCUUGUUGGCGACGAUGGGCCGUAUGGGCCCGCUUGUGGAGCCAUGUCGUGGGCCGCAGGCAGGCAAGUAUGGGGACCCCCGUUCCCAGAACGCCAACAGUUAAUCACAACCUAAUCAUGUAGUGUUUGAGGGUUGUAACUAAUGCAUAAAAACUGGGUAAUAAAGGGGUAUGAUCAAUGUGUUACUUGCCUUGCUGACGAUCCGCAAACCCUAGAGACUCGUAGUAGCACGCUUCACACUCCGGAAAUUCUAUCGCAAACAAACAAUAGCAUACAUAAGCACUCAAGCAUAGAUGCAAGGGUAAAACUCAAAUAAGAAGAUCUAAUCUGAAAGUUCAACUGAAGAGAUUCGAUUUGCAAAAAGAAUCGGUCAAAUCGGAGCUACGGAACUGAAACUACGGUCAAAAGAACUUCAAAUUUAAAUCUACUUGAAACCAAAUUUCAAAUUGUCAAAACCUUGUUCAAGAUGAUUAAACAGAAAGAGGGGCUCAAGUCGAAGAUUUUGGCAUUGGUUUCACUAGAUUUGGACGAACGGUUAAAAAGUUGCGAGGGUUUGAAGAUCAGGGGCUAAUCUGUGAUAAAAAUAAUCGCGGAUAGGUCCCUGGCCGAAAAUAAAAUAAAAAGAAAAAGACUACGGCGCGAACGUUCGUUAACAGAGACGAAUGGGGGAACGCGUUUGUUAAAAACGAUAUAACGAGUGGACGCUCGCUACAUAACGAAACUGAAAAAAUGAACCGAAC